rnacentral:rRNA from 1 species
GAUCAUGGCUCAGGAUGAACGCUAGCUACAGGCUUAACACAUGCAAGUCGAGGGGAAACGGCAUUUAGUGCUUGCACCGGAUGGACGUCGACCGGCGCACGGGUGAGUAACGCGUAUCCGACCUACCCAUUACUGUGGGAUAACCUGCCGAAAGGCAGACUAAUACCGCAUAGUCUUCGAUGACGGCAUCAGAUUUGAAGUAAAGAUUUAUCGGUAAUGGAUGGGGAUGCGU